rnacentral:lncRNA from 1 species
AUUUAUAGUCAUAUGACCAGUCACAUGAUGUUUUUAUUCUAUGUGUGUACGUCGCAUUCAUUCUUUGCACUGAUUGCUGGGCGUGAUAAUCAUAAUUAUUGUUUAAUCCUCGCUUCGCUUGACACUAACAGGACUUAGCCUUAGGUUAACUUUGUUCCUAAGUUUGAUCUGCAUGCCGUCUUGAUCAUCGUACGUAAUGGCUAGCCAAAAAUAUGAAUUUACUGUUGAAAUGACCUGUGGAGGUUGUGAAGGUGCUGUUAAAAGAGUGCUUAGUCGUCUAGAAGGGGUGGAUACUGUAGAGAUUAACUUGGAACAAAAGAAGGUUUAUGUGAGUACAUCUUUAUCAAGUGAUGUUGUACUUGAGGCUCUUAAGAAGACUGGAAAGACCACAACAUUUGUUGGAACAUGCUGAGGGAUAUUUCAAAAAUGUUUGAGAUAGCUUGGAUUGCUUAGUCAGACUGCCGAAUUCACCUUUAACACCCCUUCGCUAUUGUGCCACAGUGAGAUUAAAUCGAAUGUUUGAAAGAAGUAUAUUGCAGAGAAUGAAUUAAAUGGGAUAGCAAAUAAUGUUUAAGUUGUCACAUGAUUAAGAAUACAUUAAAUUCAUUUUACUAAAAAUAGAGAUUUUGAAUUGUAAGUACAUCUUAUUACAAAUCAAAUGACAAUUGUUUAUAAAUAAGGCCGAUGUUUUAGAUAUCUAAUGUAAGAAAAGAGCACACUUAUUGUAAUUUAGCUAUCCUAUGUUUCAAAGAAAAAAUAAGAGGAAAAUAACUUUUAUUUCUGAUUUUGAUCUAAGCAAUGGUGAUAAUGUGAUAUGAUUUCAUUAUCAGACAGAUUCAACUAGUUGUUUCUUACUUUCCCCAUAAUUUUGUCAUUUUUUAUGUUGCUGGGUAAUUGUAAAUUAUUCUUAGAUUUUCUGGAAAUACUUAUUUUACAUUCCACAUCAGUCAAUUGUGUUAUCAUUGAUGUCUUAGAUAAUAAUAUAAGAAGCUUGGCCCUGACAUAUACUCAUGUCCAGUGCUGCUUUUUGUGUCACUAAUACCUCGACCACAUUUGCCCUACGGCGGCCAAAUGGCAAGUCAAAAACAGCCACUUUAUUCAUUUUUAUUCACACCACCUAUAUUGAGCUGGUUAAAAACAGCUGUUUUUGACUUGCUGUACGGUUGUCGUAGAGCAAAUGGGACCAAGGUAUAACUGAAGUGUUUAGGCAUGAAUUAUUCCAUCUUGAAACAGAUUAUUAUUUUCAUUUUGUUAUUAAACAAAUAGAUAAAAUAGUGAAUUUGAUGAACAUAACAAAUUCUUAUUUAAAUGAUAUGCUGUUUUUUCAAACCAUUCACUGUCUAUGUAUUAUUCUUAUUACGGUAGGCCUAUGCCUAUUUUAACUUCAUAUUUUGCACAUCUAUGAGUUGCAAUGUUCUGCGUUACUGUUAGGGUUCCUCAUUGAAGUUGCUCGUAUUUCAAGGAUAUUCACUUAUUUACUAUUUCCCUCAAUAAAUGAUAGAAUGGAAAUAUGAUACUAGAAAAUGAAUGAAAGGAAAUACUAAGCCCCAAGUCGUAAGAGCCUCAGAUGAUAGUGCUUUGUAAAUACUUUGUGUAAAUAUACUGUUAAUCCAUUGUUUAAUAAUCCAGAUGUAUUUGCUUAUUUGAUAAAUUGGUGUACAUGGUAUUUGGGAACGUUGGUUAUGUGUUCACUCAUCUAAAUCGAUCAUGUUCAGAGUGAUAGAAAUGUCCGGGAGGAAUGCAAAUUAGAAAUACCAAGUUUAAAAAUGCCUUUUUCACAAACAAUGCUUAGUAUUUUCUUAGUGCUUUUGCGGUUAUUGUCGUAGAUACAAUUAUCAUAAUAAUCAUAUCAAUGGUAGUUAAUUAUUGAUGAAAUUAGUAUGCAGCAUAUAACAAUCCUUUUAUUUAUUUUUAUUUUGGAAAAGAUUAUCUUUGAGGAGUGAGAAAUUUUGGGGGUGAUAUGUGAUUUUUGGUCAUUUCAAGUGGCCCCAAAAUUCAUAUUUGUUAUUUUGUCAUGUGUGUGCUUGAUGUUUAUUGUACAUGUACUUUGUCCACUCUUUACAGCGCGAAAAAAAAUGUAAUGUAAGUUACUUUAAUUUGUCAAAACAUUUUCAUGCUUUUAUUUAAAGGCUUUUUAUUGCAUUCCUUCUUUAGGUUAGAUCAUGUAUUUCUUUUUGCUAGAAGGUCUAUUGAAUGAUAUCUUCCCAUUUGUAAUAUGUUUAUUUAAGUUAUUCGUACAAAGUUAUUCCCCGGCUAUCACCAGGUAGAUGUGCAUUACAUGUGUUUCUAGUUCAUGUCAUUUUUGUCAAAAUGUGGAGCAGAUUAGCCAUAUGUUACUAAAACAAAUCUCUGCAAGAUUUUGAUUUGGUUUGCACCUUCUUAAAAUCAGAUCGACAAUCGGACAUAUAAGAUAAUUUUAGAGGAUGGAAAAAAAUAAAGAAUUACAAUACUGGUGUAAACACAA